rnacentral:rRNA from 1 species
UGGGGAAUCUUGCGCAAUGCGCGAAAGCGUGACGCAGCAACGCCGCGUGGGGGAAGAAGGCCUUCGGGUUGUAAACCCCUUUCAGGAGGGACGAAGGUCGGGCCGUUAAUAGCGGUUCCGACUGACGGUACCUCCACAAGAAGCCCCGGCUAACUACGUGCCAGCAGCCGCGGUAAUACGUAGGGGGCAAGCGUUGUCCGGAAUCAUUGGGCGUAAAGAGCGUGUAGGCGGUCCGGUAAGUCCGCUGUGAAAGUCAAGGGCUCAACCCUUGAAUGCCGGCGGAUACUGUCGGGCUAGAGUCCGGAAGAGGUGAGUGGAAUUCCUGGUGUAGCGGUGAAAUGCGCAGAUAUCAGGAGGAACACCUAUGGCGAAGGCAGCUCACUGGGACGGUACUGACGCUGAGACGCGAAAGCGUGGGGAGCAAACAGG